UUAACAUAAAUUUGUAUGGAAUUGGAACGUUUGCCUAUGUUUGCCGCUAGGGGCGCUGUUCCGACUGCAUACAAAGAAUUA
rnacentral:pre_miRNA from 1 species